rnacentral:rRNA from 1 species
UAGGGAAUCGUCCACAAUGGGCGCAAGCCUGAUGGAGCAACACCGCGUGAGUGAAGAAGGGUUUCGGCUCGUAAAGCUCUGUUGUUAAAGAAGAACACGUAUGAGAGUAACUGUUCAUACGUUGACGGUAUUUAACCAGAAAGUCACGGCUAACUACGUGCCAGCAGCCGCGGUAAUACGUAGGUGGCAAGCGUUAUCCGGAUUUAUUGGGCGUAAAGAGAGUGCAGGCGGUUUUCUAAGUCUGAUGUGAAAGCCUUCGGCUUAACCGGAGAAGUGCAUCGGAAACUGGAUAACUUGAGUGCAGAAGAGGGUAGUGGAACUCCAUGUGUAGCGGUGGAAUGCGUAGAUAUAUGGAAGAACACCAGUGGCGAAGGCGGCUACCUGGUCUGCAACUGACGCUGAGACUCGAAAGCAUGGGUAGCGAACAGGAUUAGAUACCCUGGUAGUCCAUGCCGUAAACGAUGAGUGCUAGGUGUUGGAGGGUUUCCGCCCUUCAGUGCCGGAGCUAACGCAUUAAGCACUCCGCCUGGGGAGUACGACCGCAAGGUUG